CACAUGUGGUACACUUACAUACAGGCAAAAACAUUUACACAAUAAAAUAAAAAGAAACAUAAUAUUUUUAUGUCUGUGCAUUAUCUAGCCAGCAAGAGAAGCUUUGCAAUAAGGAUACCAUUUAGCAGAUGGAGCGGUUUCUGUUGGACACUAAGUACUGCUACAAAA